rnacentral:rRNA from 1 species
GACGAACGCUGGCGGCGUGCUUAACACAUGCCAGUCGAACGGUGAAGCGCCUUCCUUUUUGGUGGGUGUGGAUGAGUGGCGAACGGGUGAGUAACACGUGAGUAACCUGCCCCCUUCUUCUGGAUAACCGCAUGAAAGUGUGGCUAAUACGGGAUAUUCUGGGUCUGUCGCAUGAUGGGUCUGGGAAAGGUAUUGUUUCGGUGGGGGAUGGGCUCGCGGCCUAUCAGCUUGUUGGUGGGGUGAUGGCCUACCAAGGCGGUGACGGGUAGCCGGCCUGAGAGGGUGGACGGUCACAAUGGGACUGAGCCACGGCCCAGACUCCUACGGGAGGCAGCAGUGGGGAAUAGUGCACAAUGGGCGCAAGGCUGAUGCAGCGACGCCGCGUGAGGGAUGGAGGCCGUCGGGUUGUGAACCUCUUUCGCCAGUGAAGCAGGCCUGCCUCGUUUGUGGGUGGGUUGACGGUAGCUGGAUAAGAAGCGCCGGCUAACUACGUG